rnacentral:rRNA from 1 species
CAGUAGCCGCGGUAAUACAGAGGGUGCGAGCGUUAAUCGGAUUUACUGGGCGUAAAGCGUGCGUAGGCGGCUAAUUGAGUCGGAUGUGAAAUCCCCGAGCUUAACUUGGGAAUUGCAUUCGAUACUGGUUAGCUAGAGUGUGGGAGAGGAUGGUAGAAUUCCAGGUGUAGCGGUGAAAUGCGUAGAGAUCUGGAGGAAUACCGAUGGCGAAGGCAGCCAUCUGGCCUAACACUGACGCUGAGGUACGAAAGCAUGGGGAGCAAACAGGAUUAGAUAACCCUGUAGUCCCUGUCUCUUAUAC